CAGUCGCCGCGGUAAUACGUAGGUGGCAAGCGUUGUCCGGAAUUAUUGGGCGUAAAGGGCUCGCGGGCGGUUUCUUAAGUCUGAUGUGAAAGCCCCCGGCUCAACCGGGGAGGGUCAUUGGAAACUGGGAAACUUGAGUGCAGAAGAGGAGAGUGGAAUUCCACGUGUAGCGGUGAAAUGCGUAGAGAUGUGGAGGAACACCAGUGGCGAAGGCGACUCUCCGGUCUGUAACUGACGCUGAGGAGCGAAAGCGUGGGGAGCGAACAGGAUUAGAUACCCCUGUAGUCCCUGUCUCUUAUAC
rnacentral:rRNA from 1 species